rnacentral:rRNA from 1 species
UACGGGGGGAGCAAGCGUUGUCCGGAAUCACUGGGCUUAAAGGGCGCGUAGGCGGGUGCUCAAGUCCGGGGUGAAAUCCUCCAGCUCAACUGGAGAACUGCCUCGGAUACUGGGUGCCUCGAGUGUGGUAGGGGUGUGCGGAACUAUCGGUGGAGCGGUGAAAUGCGUUGAUAUCGAUAGGAACUCCGGUGGCGAAGGCGGCACACUGGACCACAACUGACGCUGAGGCGCGAAAGCCAGGGGAGCAAACGGG